GAAAGGGUGUCUGUCUCAACAGAUUUCUCUUUUUCAGUGAUGAAGUAAUCAUAAUUUUCUAUUUCAUCCCUUACUACUCAUAAACAAUCUAAAUUAUCUCUUAAAAUCACUUGGAUUCUCUAUUUUAAACACUUUCUAAGGAAGCUUAUUUAUGGUUACUAAAAACAUAUUGUUUCCUUUUCUGAAGCCUUGUCUUGAUUUCCCUGGUGACCACAGAUAAGAAAGUAUUUCCCUUCAGCUGUCAGUUUUUCCUAUUGUGCUUUAGAGAGAGAAAGGCCUCCUGUAUUGAUCUUUGUUUUUUUAAAUCUGCUAUCUGUGUGUCUUUAAAUUUCUGCUAUGAGGUAAUUUCUGAAGAGAUAAAAAUGGACUGAAUCAUAACUUUAUUUUGAAUACUGUGAGUUUAGCUUUUGCAAAUUUUUUACUUCUUUUACAACUGUUCAUCCAGGAUAUCCACAUCCACGCCUAAAUGUGUAAGUAGAAAGGACCUGCCCUGGGUUUGGAGUGAUUUGCCUCUGGCACUGGAGUAAACUCCCUGAGAUAUGAGGAGACUGCUAGUGAUAAAAGGAAAAUAAAUUAAUUACAAGUGACAAUGCUUUGCACCUCCUAAUGAAGAACUGAUAGAGAUAUCAUAUGAGUGAAGAAUUAAGCAGGAGCACUGCUAAGAGGACUUCAUGAGACACUACGGGCAAUACAUGCUACAAGACUAGAGAACUCCCCUCCCUUCUGCCUGUCCUGGAGGAUUCCUUUGCUGAAGAUUCAGCUUGUUCUAGCUUACAUGCAAAGUUUCAGAGGAAUUCUAGCACUUCUUUAAUUAACUAACACCUCUGUGAACUAGAAAGAUUAGGUUUUUCUGCCUCCUUCAAACCUGUUUUUCAUGUCUGUGGUUUAGCUCACCUCUUGCUGUAUUCUGUAACAGGGCGCUUCUCAAGAGGAGCUGGAAGUUAAUUACAUCUUCCAGCUUAAGUUAGAAGAUCAGCCUCACUGUUGUGCUCCAGGACAAAGAGAAAAUCUCUUUUUCAGAGUAAACCCUACAUUAUUUCCUUUUUCCUGUGAUUCUGGAGGAGUCCUUUUCAAGCUUUCCCCUUCAUUUGGGUGGAGC
rnacentral:lncRNA from 1 species